GUGUUGUUUCACAUCUCCAAUCGGGAGGUUUGGGUUGCGUGAUCCUACAACUUCAAACAGUGCUUCAGACUUAGAGAGGCGUUCCUGUGACAGGUAAAGAGAGCCUUUGAAGACACAAACACUCUUAUGGUGAUGGUGUAGAGGACUGGAAAUUUGAUAAAGGUGGAAAGUCAGGGAGAAUGGUUGAAAAUGAUGUUUUUGCACUGCUUUGAAAGAAAUCAUCAUCAUUGGUCUUGGAAACAUCAGAGAAGUUUCUUGAAAAGAAAUUUAACUCAACGCUUGGACAGAAUGGUGCGGGCCUUGUUUUAAGGGUAUCAAGUACCUUCUUU